rnacentral:rRNA from 12 species
ACGGAGAGUUUGAUCCUGGCUCAGGACGAACGCUGGCGGCGUGCUUAACACAUGCAAGUCGAACGGAAAGGCCCUGCUUUUGUGGGGUGCUCGAGUGGCGAACGGGUGAGUAACACGUGAGUAACCUGCCCUUGACUUUGGGAUAACUUCAGGAAACUGGGGCUAAUACCGGAUAGGAGCUCCUGCUGCAUGGUGGGGGUUGGAAAGUUUCGGCGGUUGGGGAUGGACUCGCGGCUUAUCAGCUUGUUGGUGGGGUAGUGGCUUACCAAGGCUUUGACGGGUAGCCGGCCUGAGAGGGUGACCGGCCACACUGGGACUGAG